ACGGUAGCGGCGGACGGGUUAGUAACACGUGGAUAACCUACCUAUAAUACUGGGAUAACUUCGGGAAACCGGAGCUAAUACCGGAUAAUAUAUUGAACCGCAUGGUUCAAUAGUGAAAGACGGUUUUGCUGUCACUUAUAGAUGGAUCCGCGCCGCAUUAGCUAGUUGGUAAGGUAACGGCUUACCAAGGUAACGAUGCGUAGCCGACCUGAGAGGGUGAUCGGCCACACUGGAACUGAGACACGGUCCAG
rnacentral:rRNA from 1 species